rfam:Myotis davidii contig144003, whole genome shotgun sequence.
GGUGGUUCUCGGGUGACACCCCCCGGAAUUGGACUUCCUCCUCUCUGGUUCCAGGUGCGUCACCUGAGAACCACU